UAGUGAUUGGUCACGUGAUGAGCGAAGAUGGAAGAUUUCGUAUCUCAUAUGGGGAUUAUGCACCAGCCAAGCAACUGCCAUUGAGUGGUGUUCAAGCAUGGACGAGAUAAUCAAGGAGGCGCUCUGACGUUGGCUAGCCACGGGUUGGAGAGGUUGUGGAUGAGAAAAUCGUAAGGGAGGACCACCCAUUGGGCUCGGAGGAGAGAGAUUCCCUGCACGCCGUCUCUUUGGAAUAUUAAUGGGCUUCUCCUGGGAAAACUGCCCACAGAAUAGGCCACUCCAUCGCUGUCUCUGUUUCCGCUCAGCUGUCCUGAGGGUACGUGAGUGUGUUCAGUACAAUCCGGUCU